GACGAACGCUGGCGGCGUGCUUAACACAUGCAAGUCGAACGGAAAGGCCCUGCUUUUGUGGGGUGCUCGAGAGGCGAACGGGUGAGUAACACGUGAGUAACCUGCCCUUGACUUUGGGAUAACUUCAGGAAACUGGGGCUAAUACCGGAUAGGAGCUCCUGCUGCAUGGUGGGGGUUGGAAAGUUUCGGCGGUUGGGGAUGGACUCGCGGCUUAUCAGCUUGUUGGUGGGGUAGUGGCUUACCAAGGCUUUGACGGGUAGCCGGCCUGAGAGGGUGACCGGCCACAUUGGGACUGAGAUACGGCCCAGACUCCUACGGGAGGCAGCAGUGGGGAAUAUUGCACAAUGGGCGGAAGCCUGAUGCAGCAACGCCGCGUGCGGGAUGACGGCCUUCGGGUUGUAAACCGCUUUCGCCUGUGACGAAGCGUGAGUGACGGUAAUGGGUAAAGAAGCACCGGCUAACUACGUGCCAGCAGCCGCGGUGAUACGUAGGGUGCGAGCGUUGUCCGGAUUUAUUGGGCGUAAAGGGCUCGUAGGUGGUUGAUCGCGUCGGAAGUGUAAUCUUGGGGCUUAACCCUGAGCGUGCUUUCGAUACGGGUUGACUUGAGGAAGGUAGGGGAGAAUGGAAUUCCUGGUGGAGCGGUGGAAUGCGCAGAUAUCAGGAGGAACACCAGUGGCGAAGGCGGUUCUCUGGGCCUUUCCUGACGCUGAGGAGCGAAAGCGUGGGGAGCGAACAGGCUUAGAUACCCUGGUAGUCCACGCUGUAAACGGUGGGUACUAGGUGUGGGGUCCAUUCCACGGGUUCCGUGCCGUAGCUAACGCUUUAAGUACCCCGCCUGGGGAGUACGGCCGCAAGGCUAAAACUCAAAGGAAUUGACGGGGCCCCGCACCAGCGGCGGAGCAUGCGGAUUAAUUCGAUGCAACGCGUAGAACCUUACCUGGGUUUGACAUGGAUCGGGAGUGCUCAGAGAUGGGUGUGCCUCUUUUGGGGUCGGUUCACAGGUGGUGCAUGGCUGUCGUCAGCUCGUGUCGUGAGAUGUUGGGUUAAGUCCCGCAACGAGCGCAACCCUUGUUCACUGUUGCCAGCACGUUAUGGUGGGGACUCAGUGGAGACCGCCGGGGUCAACUCGGAGGAAGGUGGGGAUGACGUCAAGUCAUCAUGCCCCUUAUGUCCAGGGCUUCACGCAUGCUACAAUGGCUGGUACAGAGAGUGGCGAGCCUGUGAGGGUGAGCGAAUCUCGGAAAGCCGGUCUCAGUUCGGAUUGGGGUCUGCAACUCGACCUCAUGAAGUCGGAGUCGCUAGUAAUCGCAGAUCAGCAACGCUGCGGUGAAUACGUUCCCGGG
rnacentral:rRNA from 1 species